rnacentral:tRNA from 1 species
GUCCAGGGGCGGGAAUCGAACCCACACCCUUCUGCUUGCCUUGUCCCCUCGGCUACCCUGGA